rnacentral:rRNA from 2 species
GUGGGUAGUUUGACUGGGGCGGUCUCCUCCUAAAGAGUAACGGAGGAGCACGAAGGUUGGCUAAUCCUGGUCGGACAUCAGGAGGUUAGUGCAAUGGCAUAAGCCAGCUUGACUGCGAGCGUGACGGCGCGAGCAGGUGCGAAAGCAGGUCAUAGUGAUCCGGUGGUUCUGAAUGGAAGGGCCAUCGCUCAACGGAUAAAAGGUACUCCGGGGAUAACAGGCUGAUACCGCCCAAGAGUUCAUAUCGACGGCGGUGUUUGGCACCUCGAUGUCGGCUCAUCACAUCCUGGGGCUGAAGUAGGUCCCAAGGGUAUGGCUGUUCGCCAUUUAAAGUGGUACGCGAGCUGGGUUUAGAACGUCGUGAGACAGUUCGGUCCCUAUCUGCCGUGGGCGCUGGAGAACUGAGGGGGGCUGCUCCUAGUACGAGAGGACCGGAGUGGACGCAUCACUGGUGUUCGGGUUGUCAUGCCAAUGGCACUGCCCGGUAGCUAAAUGCGGAAGAGAUAAGUGCUGAAAGCAUCUAAGCACGAAACUUGCCCCGAGAUGAGUUCUCCCUGAGACUUAAAGUCUCCUGAAGGAACGUUGAAGACGACGACGUUGAUAGGCCGGGUGUGUAAGCGCAGCGAUGCGUUGAGCUAACCGGU